AGUGAACGCUGGCGGUAGGCCUAACACAUGCAAGUCGAACGGCAGCACAGUAAGAGCUUGCUCUUACGGGUGGCGAGUGGCGGACGGGUGAGGAAUACAUCGGAAUCUACUUUUUCGUGGGGGAUAACGUAGGGAAACUUACUCUAAUACCGCAUACGACCUACGGGUGAAAGCAGGGGAUCUUCGGACCUUGCGCGAUUGAAUGAGCCGAUGUCGGAUUAGCUAGUUGGCGGGGUAAAGGCCCACCAAGGCGACGAUCCGUAGCUGGUCUGAGAGGAUGAUCAGCCACACUGGAACUGAGACACGGUCCAGACUCCUACGGGAGGCAGCAGUGGGGAAUAUUGGACAAUGGGCGCAAGCCUGAUACAGACAUACCGCGUGGGUGAAGAAGGCCUUCGGGUUGUAAAGCCCUUUUGUUGGGAAAGAAAAGCAGCAGGUUAAUACCCCGCUGUUCUGACGGUACCCAAAGAAUAAGCACCGGCUAACUUCGUG
rnacentral:rRNA from 1 species